rnacentral:rRNA from 1 species
GAGUUUGAUCCUGGCUCAGAUUGAACGCUGGCGUCAUGCCUUACACAUGCAAGUCGAACGGUAACAGGUCUUUCGGGAUGCUGACGAGUGGCGAACGGGUGAGUAAUACAUCGGAACGUGCCCAGUAAUGGGGGAUAGCUCGGCGAAAGCCGGAUUAAUACCGCAUACGCCCUGAGGGGGAAAGUGGGGGACCGCAAGGCCUCACGUUAUUGGAGCGGCCGAUGGCUGAUUAGCUAGUUGGUAGGGUAAAGGCCUACCAAGGCGACGAUCAGUAGCUGGUCUGAGAGGAUGAUCAGCCUCACUGGAACUGAGACACGGUCCAGACACCUACGGGUGGCAGCAGUCGAGAAUCAUUCACAAUGGGCGCAAGCCUGAUGGUGCGACGCCGCGUGGGGGAUGAAGGGCUUCGGUUCGUAAACCCCUGUCAUCUGUGAGUAAGACUCCCAAUAAAAGCUUGGGAGGUUGAUAUUAGCAGAAGAGGAAGGGACGGCUAACUCUGUGCCAGCAGCCGCGGUAAUACAGAGGUCCCAAGCGUUGUUCGGAUUUACUGGGCGUAAAGAGUGCGUAGGCGGCUAGAAAAGUUUGGUGUGAAAUCUUCGGGCUUAACCCGGAAACUGCACUGAAAACUAUCUGGCUAGAGGAUCGGAGAGGAGAUUGGAAUUCUCGGUGUAGCAGUGAAAUGCGUAGAUAUCGAGAGGAACACCAGUUGCGAAGGCGGAUCUCUGGACGGUUUCUGACGCUGAGGCACGAAAGCUGGGGUAGCGAAGAGGAUUAGAUACCCUCGUAGUCCCAGCCGUAAACGGUGCACACUUGCUGUGGGCGGAUUCGACCCCGUCCGUGGCGAAGCUAACGCGAUAAGUGUGCCGCCUGGGGAGUACGGUCGCAAGAUUAAAACUCAAAGAAAUUGACGGGGGCCUGCACAAGCGGUGGAGUAUGUGGCUUAAUUCGAUGCAACGCGAAGAACCUUACCUGGCCUUGACAUGUAGUGGCCCGGGUGCGAAAUCACCCUUUUCUUCGGAACUGCUACACAGGUGCUGCAUGGCUGUCGUCAGCUCGUGUCGUGAGGUGUUGGGUUAAGUCCCGCAACGAGCGCAACCCCCGUGUUCUGUUGCCACCCGGUUAAAUCGAGCACUCUGGACAGACUGCCGGUUUCAACUAGGAGGAAGGUGGGGAUGACGUCAAGUCAGUAUGGCCCUUACGGCCAGGGCUGCACACGUACUACAAUGCCUGAUAUAAUGGGAAGCAAGACCGCGAGGUGGAGCAAAUCCUCAAAAUCAGGCCCAGUUCAGAUUGUAGGCUGCAACUCGCCUACAUGAAGGAGGAAUCGCUAGUAAUGCCGUAUCAGCUACGACGGCGUGAAUACGUUCCCAGGCCUUGUACACACCGCCCGUCACAUCAUGAAAGUCGAUUGUACCCGAAGUCACUGAGUUAACUUGCAAAAGAGACAGGUGCCGAAGGUAUGGUUGGUAAUUGGGAUGAAGUCGUAACAAGGUAACC